rnacentral:lncRNA from 1 species
UCUUCGUCCCCUGCUUGGGUAUUCAACGCAUGUUCUUCAGGGUUUGAUGGUUCAGCCAUAGGAAUAAAAUUUUCGUCACGAUCGCACAUAUCAAAGGCCGUAUCAGCGAUAGCAUUCUCUCGAAUAAAAUUGUGAAUUGCCAUGCAUGCUACUAUUAUUUUGCUUUGCUUCUGAAUUGGAAAACUUGGUAUGCCUAACAAAAUCCUCCACUUCAUCUUCAAAACUCCAAAGGACCUCUCGAUAACAUUUC